rnacentral:miRNA from 1 species
UCGAUUCCCGGCUGGUGCACCA